rnacentral:rRNA from 1 species
AGAGUUUGAUCAUGGCUCAGAACGUACGCUGGCGGCACGCUAACACAUGCAAGUCGAACGAAGUAGCAAUACUUAGUGGCAGACGGGUGAGUAACAUGUGGGUAUCUACCCUUUGGCCUGGAAUAACACGAGGAAACUUGUGCUAAUACUGGAUAAGUCUUUACGGAGAAAGCUUUAUGCACCAUUGGAUGAGCCCGCAUUUGAUUAGUUUGUUGGUAGGGUAAUGGCCUACCAAGACUUUGAUCAAUAGCUGAUUUGAGAGGAUGAUCAGCCACAUUGGGACUGAGACACGGCCCAAACUCCUACGGGAGGCAGCAGUGGGGAAUCUUGCACAAUGGAGGAAACUCUGAUGCAGCGAUGCCGCGUGAGUGAAGAAGGCCCUUGGGUUGUAAAGCUCUUUCGUCGGGGAAGAAAAUGACUGUACCCGAAUAAGAAGGUCCGGCUAACUUCGUGCCAGCAGCCGCGGUAAUACGAAGGGACCUAGCGUAGUUCGGAAUUACUGGGCUUAAAGAGUUCGUAGGUGGUUGAAAAAGUUGGUGGUGAAAUCCCAGAGCUUAACUCUGGAACUGCCAUCAAAACUUUUCAGCUAGAGUUUGAUAGAGGAAAGCAGAAUUUCUAGUGUAGAGGUGAAAUUCGUAGAUAUUAGAAAGAAUACCAAUUGCGAAGGCAGCUUUCUGGAUCAUUACUGACACUGAGGAACGAAAGCAUGGGUAGCGAAGAGGAUUAGAUACCCUCGUAGUCCAUGCCGUAAACGAUGUGUGUUAGACGUUGGAAAUUUAUUUUCAGUGUCGCAGCGAAAGCGAUAAACACACCGCCUGGGGAGUACGACCGCAAGGUUAAAACUCAAAUGAAUUGACGGGGACCCGCACAAGUAGUGGAGCAUGUGGUUUAAUUCGAAGAUACGCGCAGAACCUUACCAACACUUGACAUGUUCGUCGCGACUUUAAGAGAUUAAAGUUUUCGGUUCGGCCGGACGAAACAC